UUUUUCUUUUUUCUUUUUUUUGCCUUUGAGGGCCCCCAUGCAGCAUAUAGAAGUUCCCAGGCUAAGGGUUGAAUCGGAGUUGCAGCUGCCAGCUUACACCACAGCCACAGCAAUGCAGGAUCUGAGCGACCUGAAGCUGCGAACUACACCACAGAUCAUGGCAACACCAGAUCCUUAACCCACUGAGCAAGGCCAGGGAUCAAACCCACAUCCUCAUGGAUCCUAGUCAGGCUCCUAACUGCUGAGCCACGAUGGGAAUUCCCAAGACCUGCUACACUCCUUUCUUUACCUACCUCUGUCCCGAAUUCUCUUCCAAAAGGUUCCUAAUCAUCAAAACAAUCCUUGGAUAAGGACAAGUCUUCCCUGUGCCACACUUGGCCUUCUGCAUCCUCAGAUUCAACCAACUAUAGGCCAAAAAUAUUGGGGUGGGGGGGAAGAUUCCAGACAGUUCCAAAAAGCAAAACUUGAACUUUUUUGUUGCUGUUGGUCUUUUUAGGGCCGCACCAGCGGCAUAUGGAGGUUCCCAGGCUAGGAGUCUAAUCAGAGCUGUAGCCACCGGCCUACACCAUAGGCACAGCAAUUCGGGAUCCGAGAUGCGUCUGCGACCUACACCACAGCUCACGGCAACGCCAGAUCCUUAACCCACUAAUCUAGGCCAGGGAUAGAACCGUGUCCUCCUGGAUGCUAGUCAGAUUCGUUUCUACUGAGCCAAGAUGGGAACUCCACAAAACUUGAAUUUGCCACACUCUGGCAACUACUACAUAGCAUUUAUAUUGUAUUAGGUAUUAUAAGUAAUCUAGAGAUGAUUUAAAAUAUGUGGUAGGACAUGCAUAAACGUAUACGCAAAAUCUAUCUCAUUUCAUAUAAGGGUCUUGAGCAUCCACAGAUUUUUUUAUAGCCCUGGUGGGGGUGGAUGGGUGGCGUCUCCUUGGAACCCAUCCCCAAGUUACCAGGGGACAACUGUACUAUCAACUCUGCCCUUUGCCUACUUCUGUUCUUCUCUACUUCAAAAACUAUUCACAGUCUACUCACAUAUUCAACUCACUGCAGAAAAUAUAAGGAGUGUUGACAACCACAAUCCUUGCCCCCAAAGAGCACUGAGAAAGGAGCAAGAACAUGUUUAGAAGGGUAUAAUAAAAAAAGACGAUUAAAUGUGCACAAGAAAAUUACAAAAUGCCAUGAGAGAAACAGCUAGUUAAGGGAAUGUUAAGUUUCAUGGAAGAAGGAGUUUUUAAGAAAGGCCUUGGGAGUUCCAGUCGUGGCACAGCAGAAACUAAUCUGACUAGGAACCACGAGGUUGUGGGUUCAAUCCACAGUCUUACCCAGUGGGUUAAGGAUCCGGCGUUGCUGUGAGCUUGUGGUGUAGGUUACAGAUGUGGCUCAGAUCUGGCAUUGCUGUGGCUGUGGUGUAGGCUGGCAGCUACAGUUCGGAUUAGACCCCUAGCCUGGGAACCUCCAUAUGCCACGUGUUUGGCCCUAAAAUGACAAGACAAAAAAAAAAAAAAAAAAAAAAAAAAAAAAAAAAAAAAAAAAAUCUCAACAGAUGAUGAAGAACGGGAAAAGAGGGUACAUACAUGUGCAUGGACAUGGGGACACAGAAGCUGCAGCAGAGACGUGUGGGGAAACUGGGAGAUGGGGCAGGAAAGGGUCCUACCCAGACGUCAUAGCAAGGAGUCUACAUUUACUUCAGUGCACAAGUGAGAGACAUGCGACAAGAGGUGCAUUUAAGAUCUUCUGGCAGUUGUGAGGAAGAAACUGGACCAGGGCCCGGGAAGAAGAGCUGCUAUUCAAAAGGCUCUGAUGGCAGCUCAGCAGGUCUCCCACCACACUUGCCCAAUUUCUGCUUCCACAACAGCCUUGUCUUCUACUUAACCCGUUCCUCCACAUCUUCUCAAGCUUCCUCUCCUUCACCUAAAUCACUUACUAAAAGGGAAAAUAAGUUAAUGGUUUGUCCUACAAAAGCAAACAAAACCUAUGGUACAUAUUUUUUUCAACGAAUAUGUGGGCUUCUAUUGGGUGCCAUGUACUGCUCUAGGCAACAGAGACGCAAAGGUGAAGAAGGAGGCAGUUUCUAACCAUGGAGUUUACAUCUUAGCAGGGGGUGCGAGGGCAGGGAGGGAGGUUGUUUAAAUCCUCUGCAGAGAAAGAGAAAACGCGCGAGGGCUCCUGAGCUCAGGUGGGUAAAGAAGGAAACAGCCAUGCAUUUUUUAUGAGGUACACAUUUCAUAUUAAAAGGGAGAAAAAGGUUUUGGAGCCAUACAAAACUGGGUUCAAGCUAUGUUUUGUCAGAAUUUUAAAUAAAAUAAUAAAUAUAUUAUGCUUUGUGCCUGGCAUUGGUAAAGGUUUGUAUAAAUGUUAGCCAUCAGAUCAGAGGUUUAAUAUACAAAGAAAAUAAAUUUUGCACUGUUCUAACUAAAAACUAGGUAAUAAUGGAACAUCAAUUGUCUGAAACAAAUACUUAAAAGGUCUUCAGGAGAUGAACCACCUACAAACAAACCUGGGAAUAUUUUGUAAAACAGUAUUAAGAACCACCUUCAUCAGCACAUAAAAAGACAGUUCUUUUAUUCACUGCUAAAAAGAAAUGAGUAGAAAUGAAUCCGACUAGGAACCAUGAGGACACAGGUUUGAUCCCUGGCCUUGCUCAGUGGGUUAAGGAUCCGGCAUUGCUAUGAGCUGUGGUGGAGGUUGCAGACAUGGCUCAGAUCUGGUGUUGCUGUAGCUAUGGUGUAGGCUGGCGGCUUCAGCUCCAAUUGGACCCCUAGCCUGGGAACCUCCAUAUGCCUCGGGUGCGGCCCUAAAAAAAAGCAAAAAAGAAAAAGAAAGAAAGGAAGGAAGGAAGGAAGGAAGGAAGAAAGAAAGAAAGAAAGAAAGAAAGAAAGAAAGAAAGAAAGAAAGAAAGAAAGAAAGAAAGAAAUCAGAUAUAUGACGCCUGGUCAAUGUGGUGACUUUACAUUAGUGGAGAUACCAAGUGUACUACCAUUGGGUUCCUAAUGAACUGCUCACUGAGGAAGAUGCCUCAGCAGAUACAAAAGAACCAGUGUCAAGUAUUAAGAAUAUUGGCAAAAAAAGGGGAAGUAGAGAUAAUGCUUGGCCUCUUGGAAAAAAAGACUUCUGCUGAAACGUUUCUCUUUUUUCUGACUGCACCUGCAGCACAUGGAAGUUCCCCAGCCAGGAACCUUGAGCCACAUCUGUAACCUGUGCCACAACUGCAGCAAUGCCAGAUCCUUAACCCACUGGGCCAGGCAGAGACUGAACUGCUAUCAUCACAGAGACAGGCCAGAUCAUUAUUUUGUAACAGCAGGAACUCUAAACCUUUUUUUUUUUUGCCUUUUUUUUAGGGCCACGCCCAAGGCAUAUGGAGGUUCCCAGGCUAGGGGUCAAAUCGGAGCAACAGGUGCUGGCCUACACCACAGGCACAGCAAUGCAGGAUCCAAGCUGAGUCUUUGACCUACACCACAGCUCAUGUUAACACCAGAUCCCCUAACACACUGGGCGAGGCCAGGGAUUGAACCUGUGUCCCCAUAAAUACUAGCCAGGCUCAUUACCGCUGAGCCACAACAGGAACUUUUUAAAACCUAAGAUUUUGAUUCUGAAAAGGUACUGAUUUUUUAAAUCCAGAGAACAGGAGACUGCUGUGGCAUCCUUUGAAAGCUGAGCAAGAUAAGUUCAAUAAAAACAAGCAAGUAAUAAACGCAGGGAACUCAUUAAUUUAAAAAAGGGAUCAUGAACAGUGAACCAAAGGGGGAAAAGAAUCUGAAGCUUCCAUGGCACAUUCCUUUGAAAGCUGGCAGCAAAAUUCUACUUCAUUUAUUAAUUCACACAAAAGUGAUUUGCUGAGCACUAUCUACAUCCCAAGCACUCUUUCAGGGGAAAAGAAAAGUCCUGCCUUCACACAAAUGAUGUUCUACCAAGGAGGCCCCCAAAUGGCAAUUCUGCCCUCCACUCCAUACUUUUUCUACAAUCCAAACCCAAACUCUUCCCCUUCAAAGGUGUCACAAACUUAUUCUACAGGAGUUAUUUUCCAGUUCCUCCAAAAUAAACACAGUGUACAGGUUAAGGGCACAGAUUGUGGAGUCAGGAUGCCUGAUUGCAAAUCCUGGCUCUGCUACUUUUUAGAUGUAAGGUCCUGGGCAGAGCACUCAACCUCUCUGUUAGUUUCCUGGAAAAUGGGGAUAACAGUACUACCUCACAGGACCUAUACAAGAAUUGAGGUUAACGGUUUCAAGUGUUUAGAACAAUGUCUGGCAUAGAAUUUAUUAUUCACAUAAAAUACCUAUUUAUAUUAUUUUGAGGGGACUGCACCGCAGAAUGCAGACGUUCCCCGGGCCAGGGACCAAACCCACACCACAGCAUUGACCUGAGCCACAGCAGUGACAAUGCUGGAUCCUUAACCUGCUAGACCACCAAGGAACUCCCCACACUUCCUUCUGACAGUCCCUUCCCUGUAAUCGCCAGGCCCGGAGAGACUGAGCUUUGCCAUAUAAUACACCACAUCCUGCUGAGCCGUAGUUCUUGAAGGACCUUCCCUUGGAAUGCUCUCUAUCCAUCCUUCCAGGCCUGCUUCCAUGUCCCCUCCUCUCAGACUCCUCCAACGUUCUUCCCACUCUCUGUCAGGGGUAAAGUCUGGUUCUCUCCUGAACUCUGGCUAUGCCACUUAUGGGUCCUUUACAGAUUUUAUGAAUGUUAAUUUUUCAUGCCUGACUCUCCCACAGACACCAAACUGCAGGAAAAGAGAAGACCUUUGGCCUGUGACUUAUCUUUACGGACAGCCAACUUUUUAACUCCUUGCCAGCCAAUGUAGCUAAAUUUUAGGUUGAAAAGAGAGACAUUUAAUAAGUGACACAGGCUGCGAUGUCCUUCGCUCCAACUCAAAUCUCUCCUACUCAAUAUAUCAGAACUCAAAUCCACUUGCACAAACACUUCUUAACUAAAAGACAAAAAUCCUACUCCUGCUAUGUUUAUUUAUCUACUAGGAAAAACCCAGGACAGUAGCACUAGAUUCAAUGCAAUGUUUACUUUUUUGCUUAUGUCCAUUCACUAAGGUACAGGUGACUGUAAAUCCGUUUAGGUUCAUUUACACUGUGUGUGCUGAGGUUGUAGGAAGCAUUUGGCUGGAAUCUUCAGGGUAGGUUCACCAUGCCUCUGCCACCGAGUAGGAAUUACUGCACACAAAUGGGUUUACCCCAUUGCUUAAAACUCUCCAGGAGAAAUUCUCAUAGUUCUCCGAGAGCAGGGAGCUCUUUGGUUUGUCCACCUAAACCACUAACACUCCCUCUGACCUCAUCUGCUGUUGUUUUUCUUCUCCAAGAGUUGAGAAACAGUAGGCCAUCACUCCUAAACAUACCCUAAACAUACCCAUUAACUCAUUGCUUAGAAUAGCUUAUCAGGCUAAAUUAUUUCAUUUCUUUGGCUGAUAUUCUCUCCGAAUUUUUCCCUCAUUCAACUAUUUUAGUUACUCUUAGAGAUGCUUUACAAGUUUUCUACAACGAAUCCAAAUUGAACAUUACUUUAAUACCUACCAUGUGAAGGGGACAUAAAGAGAGAAAGACGAACAAGGCAUGAUGACCAUUUAAGAAUAGGAUCCUGUGGUGAAAUAGACACAUUCCAUAGUAACUGUUAACAUACAUUCCAUAAAUCACUACAAUAUAUGGAUAAAGACAGAGGUGAAAGAUAACGCAGAGGCUCAGAGGCAAAAUGGUACAUUUACUCUCAGUGCACAGACAGGCAAUGUGCCAGCUGCUGGGGCUACAAAAUAAAACAAAACACAGCCUUGACCACAAGGACCUUAGAGAGUCUAGUGCAGUGAUACUCAAAAUUAUUUUGCAGUUUUUCCAGCAAAAAUCUUAUACAGAUACUCAAGAAAGAAAGGGAUGAUGAGAGUUGCUCUGGCUGUGGAGCUGCUAGGAUGACUCUCACUUGUGCUCCAGACAGGCCACCUGGGGCAGCC
rnacentral:tRNA from 1 species